AUAGCUGGUUCUCUCCGAAAUGCAUUUAGGUGCAGCGUCGGGGAUUACGUCCGGGGGGUAGAGCUACUGGAUGCUUGAGGGCCCGUAUCGGGUACCGACAGCAGCCAAACUCCGAAUACCCGUGACGCGUAUCCCGGCAGUGAGUCGGCGGGGGAUAAGCUCCGUCGUCGAAAGGGAGACAGCCCAGAUCGUCGUCUAAGGUCCCCAAGCGCGUGCUAAGUGGGAAAGGAUGUGGAGUCGCAUAGACAGCCAGGAGGUUGGCUCAGAAGCAGCCAUCCUUGAAAGAGUGCGUAACAGCUCACUGGUCUAGUGGUUCCGCGCCGACAAUGUAGCGGGGCUCAAGCACGCCACCGAAGACGCGGCAGCGUCCGUCUGGAUGCUGGGUAGGAGAGCGUCCCCAUCGGGGCGAAGCGGCGGCGCAAGCCUGCCGUGGACCGUUGGGGAGUGAGAAUGCAGACAUGAGUAGCGAGAGGCGGGUGCGAAUCCCGCCCGCUGGAUGACCAAGGGUUCCGGGGCCACGUUCGUCGUCCCCGGGUGAGUCGGGUCCUAAGGCGAGGCCGACAGGCGUAGUCGAAUGGAUGAACGGGCUGAUAUUCCCGUACCGGCAGCGAACCGAAACAACCGAGGCCUGGGGCGCUAACCUCCGGGUCCGUGCCGUCUCCCCUUUCGGGGGGUCGCGGCGCGGGCGCGUUGGGAUCCCCCCUCGUAGUAGGUCAGCGCAGGAGUGACGCAUCAGGGCAGCCGGCCGCGGAGGUGGUUUUCCGUGGUCAAGCGUUCGAGCCCGUCCCGCAGGCAAAUCCGCGGGGCGUCGGGGCGAGGCGUGAUGAUGGGGGCCUUACGGCCCGAAUCCGGUGAUCCGUGGUGCCGAGAAAAGCUUCGGCGUCAGGCGCGUCGCCGCCCGUACCCCAAACCGACACUGGUGGUCAGGUAGAGAAUACCAAAGCGAUCGAGCGAAUCCUGGUCAAGGAACUCGGCAAAUUGCUCCCGUGCCUUCGGCAUAAGGGAGACCCCCUGCGGUGAUGAGCGGCGGGGGGUGGCACAGGCCAGGGGGUAGCGACUGUUUACCAAAAACACAGGAGCGUGCGAAGGCGCAAGCCGCUGUAUACGCUCUGACGCCUGCCCGGUGCCGGAAGGUUAAGAGGAUCCGUCAACUCUUCGGAGCGAAGCGGUGAAUUCAAGCCCCGGUAAACGGCGGUGGUAACUAUAACCAUCCUAAGGUAGCGAAAUUCCUUGUCGGGUAAGUUCCGACCUGCACGAAUGGCGUAACGACUUCCCCACUGUCUCGACCAGGAGCUCGGCGAAAUUGCAGUACGAGUAAAGAUGCUCGUUAAGCGCAGAAGGACGAAAAGACCCCGGGACCUUUACUAUACCUUGGUAUUGGCGUUAGGCGCGGAUUGUGUAGCAUAGGCGGGAGGCUUCGAAGCGUGGGCGCCAGCUCAUGUGGAGCCGCAAGGUGAAAUACCGCUCUGUUCUCGUUUGACGUCUAACCUCGACAAGUCAUCCUUGUCAGGGACAGUGCCUGGCGGGUAGUUCAACUGGGGCGGUUGCCUCCCAAAGAGUAACGGAGGCGCUCAAAGGUCCGCUCAGCCCGGUUGGCAAUCGGGUGUCGAGUGUAAUCGCACAAGCGGGCUUGACUGCGAGGACGACGGUCCGAGCAGGGACGAAAGUCGGAGAUAGUGAUCCGGUGCCGGCGCACGGGCGCGGCAUCGCUCAACGGAUAAAAGGUACCCCGGGGAUAACAGGCUGA
rnacentral:rRNA from 1 species